rnacentral:rRNA from 1 species
CAUAGCGACUAUCGUGGCAUAUCAAUAAGCGGAGGAAAAGAAACUAACAAGGAUUCCCCUAGUAACGGCGAGUGAAGCGGGAAGAGCUCAAAUUUGAAAUCUUAAAGGGUUUCCCUUUACGAAUUGUAGUUUAAAGAAGUGUUUUCUGUUGGAGUUUCGGUAAAAGUUCUUUGGAAUAGGACAUCAUAGAGGGUGAGAAUCCCGUAUUUGACCGUUACUUUCCAGCUGUGUGAUACACUUUCAAAGAGUCGGAUUGUUUGGGAAUGCAGUCCAAAAUGGGUGGUAAAUUUCAUCUAAAGCUAAAUAUUGGCGAGAGACCGAUAGCGAACAAGUACCGUGAGGGAAAGAUGAAAAGAACUUUGAAAAGAGAGUUAAACAGUACGUGAAAUUGUCAAGAGGGAAGCGUUUGACACCAGUGUUGUUUAGUUGAAAAUCAAUUCAAUAAUUUUUGAUUUUGAGUAGUAUUGACUUCAUCAGCUUGCUGCUUUCUUUUCCGAAAUUAUUGAAUGCACUUUUCAGUUAACAAGUCAACAUCAAUUUCUUUUGUUGUAAAAGGGUAAGAGGAAGGUGGCUUACGCUUCGGCGUAAGUGUUUAUAGCCUUUUACCUCUGCAAUCGGAGAGAUUGAGGUACAUGCAGCGUAGACUCCUUCGGGGUUAGAUACGUUUGUGCUAAGUUAUAGCUUUUCAUAGACAACUUGUUGACUAUGUUAAGUCUUGUAGCUUACUCGCAUGACUGCUAUUUUACCUACGCUUAGGAUGUUGAUAGUCACAGCGUGUAC